GCUAGAAUGCGCGGCGUUGGUGCUCGCAGUGUGCAACGCACGCUGCAGUUCAACGGGAAGCAGGAGGGUGACGCUGGCCAACAGCAAACCUAACCUGCGCUGCCCCCGCAACGGUAAGUGGACGAGCCGCCAGGCUCCGCUUGCAUCCAGGCCACUGAGUGUUUUUCAAAGCACUUGGGAAGGCGAUGCAGGUUGACUCCACCAGCCCGGAUACCGGCCAACACGGUGGCUGCGCG
rnacentral:ncRNA from 2 species